ACGAACGCUGGCGGCGUGCUUAACACAUGCAAGUCGAACGGUGAAGCGCCUUCCUUUUGGUGGGUGUGGAUGAGUGGCGAACGGGUGAGUAACACGUGAGUAACCUGCCCCCUUCUUCUGGAUAACCGCAUGAAAGUGUGGCUAAUACGGGAUAUUCUGGGUCUGUCGCAUGAUGGGUCUGGGAAAGAUAUUGUUUCGGUGGGGGAUGGGCUCGCGGCCUAUCAGCUUGUUGGUGGGGUGAUGGCCUACCAAGGCGGUGACGGGUAGCCGGCCUGAGAGGGUGGACGGUCACACUGGGACUGAGACACGGCCCAGACUCCUACGGGAGGCAGCAGUGGGGAAUAUUGCACAAUGGGCGCAAGCCUGAUGCAGCGACGCCGCGUGAGGGAUGGAGGCCUUCGGGUUGUGAACCUCUUUCGCCAGUGAAGCAGGCCUGCCUCGUUUGUGGGUGGGUUGACGGUAGCUGGAUAAGAAGCGCCGGCUAACUACGUG
rnacentral:rRNA from 1 species